rfam:Ovis aries breed Texel chromosome 7, whole genome shotgun sequence.
UCCCUGGUGGCUAAAAUGGUAAAGAGUCUGCCUGCAAUACAGGAGACCUGGGUUUGAUCCCCGGGUCAGGGAG